GCAGGUGUAGCUCAAUGGUAGAGUUUCGGCCUUCCAAGCCGACCACGUGGGUUCGAUUCCCAUCACCUGCUCCA
rnacentral:tRNA from 1 species